CCCGGGUCUUGUACACACCGCCGUCACACCAUGGGAGUUGGUUUUACCCGAAGGCGGUGCGCCAACCGUAAGGAGGCAGCCGACCACGGUAAGGUCAGCGACUGGGGUG
rnacentral:rRNA from 1 species